rnacentral:lncRNA from 1 species
GCACUCAUCUAAAGCCUCUUGCCACUCCUCCCCCUGCAUGCCCUGAGCAGAUUACAUUUCUUGUGCUGCACGCCUCCUUCGAUGAAUGUAAGGAUUGGAAUUCACUCUCUCAUUCGCUUCGAUGUCUUGUCUAAUCUAAGUUAAAUGUUGAUUCUUUUUUGUCUCCUUAAUUUCAUUUCUCAUUAAUGGUUUAUGAAUUCUGAAUUCUGAUUUAGGGAUUAGAAUAAUAGAGAUUAGGUUGAUAAAUAUUUGUCACACUGCGCCUAUGCCCAUACAAGAUUAUAGUCUGUCAAAUUUAAUAGACUGAGGAAUUUGUCAGACUGAUUGGUUUUGCUCUACUUUGGACUAAUCAGGAGAGCAGCUCCAAUCUCUGACCAUUGUAUACAGGAAUGUAAUCCCUUACACAAACUCCCCACCCAAUUUUCAUGACAUUUAUGACAACAUCUAGAACUUUAUGAAUGUGAUAAGCUGCCAACUUUUAGGUUAGAGAAAGAGAGAUUUCAUAUGAUAAAAAAAGUUAUAGUACGUGCAAGUUUUUUGACACUUAAAGUUGCUUCAGUAGGUGAGUGCAUUUGUUUUUUUUAUUCAAUUAAAAUUUGGGUUUUUGUUUCAAGGAUUUGGUGCUACUGCUAAUGAUGUUAAGCUUCCAAAGGAAUUAAAUCAUGAUUGAUAUAUCAACCCUGCAAGCUGACCUUAAUAGUUGGUUGUGGUUAUCAGUUCAUACUUUGAGGAAUCUUAUCUCUCAAGAUGAAACACCUACUGCUAGUACUACUCCUCAAAAGAGUAUGCUCUCACUAUCGGAUAACCAUUUUCUCAGUGUUCUUAAAUUUCAUUUGUUACUAAACUAUACAAUUCUGGUGCAGCUUCUCGCCCUUUCUCCUUGUUAUCACCCUUCCGAAGCAAGACCAGAGAGAAGAAGCCUUGACAAUGUGAAUAUGUUUAACAUUUAUGGUGAGGAAGCCACAAGCUUCUCUUGUUUUUGUACAUUUGGGUUGUGAAAUUUUGUAGAUUUUAUGUUUCUUCAAUUUCUAUUGAGGAAUCAAAAGUGGCAUUUAGCCAUGUUCUGAACAAUUGAUUUCUGUACAUUCGUGAUUAAUUCAUGUGCUCUUAU